rnacentral:rRNA from 1 species
CGGUUGAUCCUGCCAGACCCGACUGCUAUAGGGAUAAGACUAAGAUAUGCAAGUCGCACGCCUGUAACUAUGUUCAGGAGUGGCGAACCGCUCAGUAACACGUUGACAACUCACCCUCAGGACGGGGACAACUACGGGAAACUGUGGCUAAUCCCCGAUAGACGGCGACGCCUGGAAUGGUCCGUCGUCCAAAGCCAUCUCUGCAUGUAGAGUGCGCGCCUGAGGAUGGGUCAGCGGCUGAUUAGGUUGUUGGUGGGGUAACGGCCCACCAAGCCAUCGAUCAGUACCGGCCGUGAAAGCGGGAACCGGGAGAUGGGCACUGAGACAAAGGCCCAGGCCCUACGGGGCGCAGCAAUCGCGAAACCUCUGCAAUCCGGGCAACCGGGACAGGGUUAUCCCUAGUGCCAUGCUAUCGCGUGGCUUUUGCCGACAGUAGGAAUGUCGGGGAAUAAGGGGAGGGCAAGGCUGGUGCCAGCCGCCGCGGUAAAACCAGCUCCUCAAGUGGUCGGGAUGUUUAUUGGGCCUAAAGCAUUCGUAGCCGGCCCUGCAAGUUCUUGGUUAAAUCCAACCGCUCAACGGUUGGGCUGCUGAGAAUACUACAGGGCUUGGGAGCGGGAGAGGCCGAGGGUACUCCUAGGGUAGGGGUGAAAUCCUGUGAUCCUAGGGGGACCACCAGAAGAUGCGCAAUCUUCUUGCCAUCUGGUGAAUGGCGAAGGCGCUCGGCUGGAACGCGUCCGACGGUGAUGGAUGAAAGCCAGGGGAGCGAAUCAGAUCAGCAAGACUGUUCUGAGCUUAAACCGGAUUAGAUAUCCGAACCCUGUGCUCGCUUGGGCACUCGGACUAAAAACCCGGGUAGUCCUGCCCGUAAACGAUGCGGGCUAGGUGUCGGUCCGGCUACGAGCCGGUCCGGUGCCGAAGCGAAGGCGUUAAGCCCGCCGCCUGGGAAGUACGGUCGCAAGGCUGAAACUUAAAGGAAUUGGCGGGGGAGCACCACAAGGCGUGAAGCCUGCGGUUCAAUUGGAUUCAACGCCGGA